rnacentral:rRNA from 1 species
AGAGUUUGAUCAUGGCUCAGGAUGAACGCUGGCGGUAUGCCUAACACAUGCAAGUCGAACGAUGUCUUCGGACAUAGUGGCGGACGGGUGAGUAACGCGUGAGAAUCUGCCUCUAGGAUGGGGAUAACGGUUGGAAACGACCGCUAACACCCAAUAUGCCGUAAGGUGAAAAAUUUAUUGCCUGGAGAGGAGCUCGCGUCUGAUUAGCUAGUUGGUGGGGUAAGAGCUCACCAAGGCCUCGAUCAGUAGCUGGUCUGAGAGGAUGAGCAGCCACACUGGGACUGAGACACGGCCCAGACUCCUACGGGAGGCAGCAGUGGGGAAUUUUCCGCAAUGGGCGAAAGCCUGACGGAGCAAUACCGCGUGAGGGAGGAAUGCCUUUGGGUUGUAAACCUCUUUUCUCAGGGAAGAAGAUCUGACGGUACCUGAGGAAUAAGUAUCGGCUAACUCCGUGCCAGCAGCCGCGGUAAUACGGAGGAUGCAAGCGUUAUCCGGAAUCAUUGGGCGUAAAGCGUCCGCAGGUGGUUUCCAAAGUCUGCUGUUAAAGACUGGAGCUCAACUCCGGAACGGCGGUGGAAACUUGGAAACUAGAGUUCGGUAGGGGUAGCAGGAAUUCCCAGUGUAGCGGUGAAAUGCGUAGAUAUUGGGAAGAACAUCGGUGGCGAAGGCGUGCUACUGGACCGUAACUGACACUCAGGGACGAAAGCUAGGGGAGCGAAAGGGAUUAGAUACCCCUGUAGUCCUAGCUGUAAACGAUGGAAACUAGGUGUGGCUUGUAUCGACCCGAGCCGUGCCGUANCUNACGCGUUAAGUUUCCCGCCUGGGGAGUACGCACGC